rnacentral:rRNA from 1 species
AGAGUUUGAUCCUGGCUCAGAAUCAACGCUGGCGGCGCGCUUAACACAUGCAAGUCGCACGAGAAAGUGGAGCAAUCCAUGAGUAAAGUGGCGUACGGGUGAGUAACACGUGGGUAAUCUACCUCUUAGUGGGGAAUAACCCUGGGAAACCGGGGCUAAUACCGCAUAAGCUCGAGAGAGGAAAGCAGCAAUGCGCUGAGAGAGGAGCCCGCGGCCGAUUAGCUAGUUGGCAGGGUAAAAGCCUACCAAGGCAUAGAUCGGUAGCCGGCCUGAGAGGGCACACGGCCACACUGGCACUGAAACACGGGCCAGACUCCUACGGGAGGCAGCAGUGGGGAAUCUUGCACAAUGGGGGAAACCCUGAUGCAGCGACGCCGCGUGAGCGAUGAAGCCCUUCGGGGUGUAAAGCUCUUUCGGCAGGGAAGAUUAUGACGGUACCUGCAGAAGCAGCUGCGGCUAACUACGUGCCAGCAGCCGCGGUAAUACGUAGGCAGCGAGCGUUGUUCGGAGUUACUGGGCGUAAAGGGUGUGUAGGCGGUUCUUUAAGUUUGGUGUGAAAUCUCCCGGCUCAACCGGGAGGGUGCGCCGAAUACUGAGGGACUAGAGUGCGGGAGAGGAAAGUGGAAUUCCUGGUGUAGCGGUGAAAUGCGUAGAUAUCAGGAGGAACACCGGUGGUGUAGACGGCUUUCUGGACCGUAACUGACGCUGAGACACGAAAGCGUGGGUAGCAAACAGGAUUAGAUACCCUAGUAGUCC